CGUAGGGGGCUAGCGUUGUCCGGAAUCAUUGGGCGUAAAGCGCGCGUAGGCGGCCCGGUAAGUCCGCCGUAAAAGUCAAAGGCUCAACCUUUGAAUGUCAGUGGAUACUGCCGGGCUAGAGUCCGGAAGAGGCGAGUGGAAUUCCUGGUGUAGCGGUGGAAUGCGCAGAUAUCAGGAGGAACACCAACGGCGAAGGCAGCUCGCUGGGACGGUACUGACGCUGAGGCGCGAAAGCGUGGGGAGCGAACAGGAUUAGAUACCCUGGUAGUCCACGCCGUAAACGAUGGGCACUAGGUGUGGGAGGUGUCGACUCCUCCCGUGCCGGCGCUAACGCAUUAAGUGCCCCGCCUGGGGAUACGGCCGCAAGGCUA
rnacentral:rRNA from 1 species